AGAUUGAACGCUGGCGGCAUGCCUUACACAUGCAAGUCGAACGGUAACGCGGGGCAACCUGGCGACGAGUGGCGAACGGGUGAGUAAUGCAUCGGAACGUGCCCAGUAGUGGGGGAUAGCCCGGCGAAAGCCGGAUUAAUACCGCAUACGACCUACGGGUGAAAGCGGGGGACUCGCAAGAGCCUCGCGCUAUUGGAGCGGCCGACGUCAGAUUAGCUAGUUGGUGGGGUAAAAGCCUACCAAGGCGACGAUCUGUAGCUGGUCUGAGAGGACGACCAGCCACACUGGGACUGAGACACGGCCCAGACUCCGUACGGGAGCAGCAGGUGGGAAUUUGGACAAGUGGGCGCAAGCCUGAUCCAGCUAGUCGCCGCGUGACGGAAGAA
rnacentral:rRNA from 1 species